UACAGAGGGGGCCAGCGUUAUUCGGAAUUAUUGGGCGUAAAGGGCGCGUAGGCGGCCUUGCGUGUCUUUCGUGAAAUCCCUCGGCUUAACUGAGGACGUGCGGAAGAAACUGCAGGGCUGGAGUCCGGGAGAGGGGGGUGGAAUUCCCAGUGUAGCGGUGAAAUGCGUAGAUAUUGGGAGGAACACCGGUGGCGAAGGCGGCCCCCUGGACCGGUACUGACGCUGAGGAGCGAAAGCGUGGGGAGCGAACAGG
rnacentral:rRNA from 1 species